rnacentral:snRNA from 1 species
AUACUUACCUGGCAGGGGAGAUACCAUGAUCACGAAGGUGGUUUUCCCAGGGCGAGGCUCAUCCAUUGCACUCCGGAUGUGCUGACCCCUGCGAUUUCCCCAAAUGUGGGAAACUCGACUGCAUAAUUUGUGGUAGUGGGGACUGCGUUCGCGCUCUCCCCU